AAUAUUUGAAUAAAGUUAAUUUUUUUCCGGCUCUAAUUUUAUAUGUACACCCUGUAUAAAUUGGAAACUGACAGCUUAUUAAACCCGGUUAAGAAACACCAAUGACAUCGUCAUCGAAGAUUUGUAUGAAUUAUAUUCAAAAUCAUUUUAAAUACGCAAUUUGGUUUUGCGUAGAUAGAGACUAAGUACGCAGUAGGUUUGUGUUCAUGUGAGGGUAGGAGGGGGGGAGGGGUUAUAUGACCGUUAUUAAGAGAAGUAAUCCGACCUUGCGAAAGGAAACCUUAUCAUUAAAUGAAAUAAGUUUGUAGCGUGAUGAACCAGAUUCCUCAAUAUGAUUUUACUGCUCCUGUCCCGGUGGUGCCAGGAGCGGUCUCCUCAGAUAUUACUGAUGCUCCUCUUUUUAAUGGUGGGAGCAGAGCUGUUUUUGCUGCUCCUUCUUGCUAUAACGGAGAUUUUACUUCUCCCUCUGCUGAUAAUACCCUUCCUGUAACUUGGAGAUUCUCAGAUCCUGUCCGUCUUCUACCGCUCUCAUCCACCCAACGAGCUUCCCAUGCUGCCAACCACCCUGAGAAUCUAAUCACCACCCUUCAAAACCGCCUGGUCACCCUGUGGAGAUACAUCAAACCUGCUCCAGAGCAUGUCCCUCCUAAAGAUACUGAGUAUGAGGGGGAUACAGAUGAAAGUGAUACAUCCUUCAAUGAUAUUGGAGAUGAUGAUUUUGAAUCUGACUCCCUAGAGUCUGAAGAAGAGGUUGGAGCUGAUCCAGGUCCGAAGGAGGAGAGAAGAAAACUUUCGAACAUGCUGCUCACCCUGCAGGGUAUAACAGAGCAGGUUAAACUGCUGAAAGAAGAGAAUAAGAAGCUCCAGACUUCUGUUGAAUCACUGGAGUGCAAUAAUAUAGCACUUUUACGGAGGUGUGAAAAUAACCCUAAUAAUCAUCAAACCAAACUUUAUCCGAAGAAUCUCUCAACGCAAAUUAGAAAACUUGUCAAGACGACUGUACGGAGUUUAUAUUCGGUCUGUUUCCUGCAACUGUAAAAUUGUUUCUUUCUUUGCUUAACUGUUUAAUAGGCUAUUAAAAGACUAUAUUCAAGGAUAAUUAUCGCAUCAGGAUACCUGAGUCUGAUAUCAAGGCUUGCUACAAGAUGCCUGAGGGCACCCUGGUGUUCAGAAUGAAAAAUGAUG
rnacentral:misc_RNA from 1 species